AGCGAACGCUGGCGGCAGGCUUAACACAUGCAAGUCGAACGGGCUUCUUCGGAUUUCAGUGGCAGACGGGUGAGUAACACGUGGGAACGUGCCCUUCUGUUCGGACUAACUCAGGGAAACUUGAUCUAAUACCGGAUACGCCCUUUUGGUGGAAGGUUUACUGCCGAAGGAUCGGCCCGCGUCUGAUUUGCUUGUUGGUAGGGUAACGGCCUUCCAAGGCGACGAUCAGUAGCUGGUCUGAGAGGAUGAUCAGCCACACUGGGACUGAGACACGGACCAGACUCCGACGGGAGGCAGCAGUGGGGAAUAUUGGACAAGGGGCGCAAGCCUGAUCAAGCCAUGCCGCGUGAGUGAGGAAGGCCUUAGGGUUGUAAAGCUCUUUUGUCCGGGACGAGAAUGACGGUACCGGAAGAAUAAGCCCCGGCUAACUUCGUG
rnacentral:rRNA from 1 species